CAGCAUGACGAUUGCUUGCUAUUGUUGAUGGCGACCGGCGCACGGGUGAGUAACGCGUAUCCAACCUGCCCUUGUCCAUCGGAUAACCCGUCGAAAGGCGGCCUAACACGAUAUGCAGUCCACAGAAGGCAUCUGACGCGGACGAAAUGUGAAGGAGAAGGAUGGGGAUGCGUCUGAUUAGCUUGUUGGCGGGGUAACGGCCCACCAAGGCGACGAUCAGUAGGGGUUCUGAGAGGAAGGUCCCCCACAUUGGAACUGAGACACGGUCCAAACUCCUACGGGAGGCAGCAGUGAGGAAUAUUGGUCGAUGGGCGAGAGCCUGAACCAGCCAAGUAGCGUGCAGGAUGACGGCCCUAUGGGUUGUAAACUGCUUUUAUGCGGGGAUAAAGUGGGCCACGUGUGGCUUAUUGCAGGUACCGCAUGAAUAAGGACCGGCUAAUUCCGUGCCAGCAGCCGCGGUAAUACGGAAGGUCCGGGCGUUAUCCGGAUUUAUUGGGUUUAAAGGGAGCGUAGGCCGUCUGGUAAGCGUGUUGUGAAAUGUCGGGGCUCAACCUGGGCAUUGCAGCGCGAACUGUCAGACUUGAGUGCGCGGGAAGUAGGCGGAAUUCGUCGUGUAGCGGUGAAAUGCUUAGAUAUGACGAAGAACUCCGAUUGCGAAGGCAGCCUGCUGUAGCGCAACUGACGCCGAAGCUUGAAAGCGUGGGUAUCGAACAGGAUUACAUACCCUGGUAGUCCA
rnacentral:rRNA from 1 species